CAUGCUCCCGGCGCGCAGCUCCCGACGCGGCGCUCGGCUGUGCUCGGGCAUUUCCGCCUCUUUGUUUUAAACUCCGGACGGCUUUUUUCUCCGGCUCCGGGGGGACCCCGAGGGAGCGGCGUCCCCUCCCCGCCCCGCGCGGCCCCGCGAGCGCACGAGCCCCCGCCGCCCACAGGCUCCAGGAUGUAGCGGGCGCCCAGCUGCUAUGCCCAGACAAUGGACAGAGGACACGGGGCACCGGGACGGCGUAGACGGGCAGAGCCAGCACGGAGGGAGCUGGCUGGCCAGGAAUCUUAGAGUCGGGAGCAUUGCCUAAUGUGCCCAAUGCCAAGGUGGAAACCGGGAGAAGAGACUUCUAGGGGAGAAGCCAAAGAUGUUGACCAGAAAGAUUAAACUCUGGGAUAUAAACGCCCACAUCACCUGCCGCCUGUGCAGCGGUUAUCUCAUCGACGCCACCACCGUGACCGAGUGUCUGCACACGUUUUGUCGGAGCUGCCUGGUCAAGUACCUGGAGGAGAACAACACCUGCCCCACCUGCAGAAUCGUCAUCCACCAGAGCCACCCACUGCAGUACAUUGGCCAUGACAGGACCAUGCAAGACAUCGUCUACAAGCUGGUUCCAGGCCUCCAGGAAGCGGAAAUGAGGAAGCAGAGGGAAUUCUACCACAAGCUGGGCAUGGAGGUGCCAGGAGACAUCAAGGGGGAGAUGUGCUCUGCAAAGCAGCACCUGGACUCCCAUCGGAAUGGUGAAACCAAAGCUGAUGACAGUUGGAACAAAGAGGCAGCGGAGGAAAAGCAGGAAGAGGACAAUGACUACCACAGGAGUGACGAGCAGGUCAGCAUCUGCCUGGAGUGCAACAGCAGCAAGCUGCGGGGCCUGAAACGCAAGUGGAUCCGCUGCUCGGCCCAGGCCACCGUCCUGCACCUGAAGAAGUUCAUCGCCAAAAAGCUCAACCUCUCGUCCUUCAAUGAGAGGGAAAGGGAUGGGCGGGGGACAGGACACACACACUGCCCAGGGACAGACUGGGGCACACAUGCUGAGCCUUGGGGACAGACGGCCCUGGGGAUGGAGUAUACACAUAAGCUGGACAUUCUUUGCAACGAGGAGAUCCUGGGCAAGGACCACACGCUCAAGUUUGUGGUCGUCACCAGGUGGAGAUUCAAGAAGGCGCCUCUCCUGCUACACUACAGACCCAAGAUGGACUUGCUGUGAGGCCAGCACUCUGCACGCAGCACCCAUGCCAGGCCGGGCGGGCUCGCGCCCACACCCUGGUGCCCGGGUGUCGGUGGACAUUUCUGAAUAGAGAAUAUUUAUAACUUUUGUACAAGAGGACUCAGCACCAGACACGACCAGCACCGCAGCCCCACUGACUUCUGCUCGCUUUCCAGCUGAGAAGCUGGGCCUUUGCAGUUCAGUUCAUGAAUUGAGUUUCAAGACGACACGCGGAAACACUUAACGACAAGAUGGCUGCGGGGCUAAGUUCUGGGAGAGAGUCGGCGAAGGCCACAUUGUCCUUGGAAGUGUGACACCGAACAUUGAUAGUGCAGAAUCCCAGCUUCUCAAUUUCCUCAGGAAGUCAUCCACACCCACGUCACGCGUGACCUUAGCAUGGCAAACCCGUGUCUGUCUGCAUGGCGUGUGAAGUGACAGGCCAGGGUGAGGCGGUCACAGAGCCACCUCCAGACCGCCCGUCACCUCACAGAGCGUGCCCCCCAGCGGGCACAGCCCCGGGACCCGGGAGUCCAGAAAGCCCGGCCCCAUCACGCUGCCCCUCAGGACGCCGGGCGGUUGAGCUCCUGGGGCUCCCUGGCUGUGCAGGUGCAGCAGACGCAUAUUUUUGACCAUUUUGUUUGAAAGUUUACAUUUUUUAUGCUUCGUGUUGCUGUGUACUUUUUGUACUAUUGGUGGCUAGUUUUUGUCUCAGAUCUUUUCUGGAAUAUUGCUUAAAUGUUUUGAUUUUGAUAGUGAAGCUUGUAUUCAGUGUUUUGCCAAUUACUAUUAUAUGCUUGUAAUAAAAGCAAAAGAAAAACAGAAA